rnacentral:rRNA from 1 species
CACGUAGGGCGCAAGCGUUGUCCGGAAUUAUUGGGCGUAAAGAGCUCGUAGGCGGUCUGUCGCGUCGAUCGUGAAAACUUGGGGCUUAACCCUGAGCUUGCGGUCGAUACGGGCAUGACUGGAGUUCGGCAGGGGAGACUGGAAUUCCUGGUGUAGCGGUGGAAUGCGCAGAUAUCAAGGAGGAACACCGGUGGCGAAGGCGGUUCUCUGGGCAUUACCUGACGUGGAGGAGCGAAAGUGUGGGGAGCGAACGG